rnacentral:rRNA from 1 species
GAUGAACGCUGGCGGCGUGCCUAAUACAUGCAAGUCGAGCGAACAGACGAGGAGCUUGCUCCUCUGACGUUAGCGGCGGACGGGUGAGUAACACGUGGAUAACCUACCUAUAAGACUGGGAUAACUUCGGGAAACCGGAGCUAAUACCGGAUAAUAUAUUGAACCGCAUGGUUCAAUAGUGAAAGACGGUUUUGCUGUCACUUAUAGAUGGAUCCGCGCCGCAUUAGCUAGUUGGUAAGGUAACGGCUUACCAAGGCAACGAUGCGUAGCCGACCUGAGAGGAGGGUGGGCCGCACAGGAACGGGGACAGGGGCCAGGCGACAACGGGAGGCCGCAGUGGGGAAUGUGAGACAAUGGGCGAAAGACUGACACAGCAAGCGCGAGUGUGAGAUGACGGCCUUGGGUUAGUAAACUGCUCUUUUAGGGAAAAAAAAGCUGUGGACUAACAAAGAGCGGGCUGGACGGUACCGAAUGAAGAAGCACCGGCUAACUACGUG